rnacentral:rRNA from 1 species
GAUGAACGCUGGCGGCGUGCCUAAUACAUGCAAUUCGAGCGAACGGACGAGAAGCUUGCUUCUCUGAUGUUAGCGGCGCACGGGUGAGUAACACGUGGGUAACCUACCUAUAAGAGUGGGAUAACUUCGGGACACCGGGGCUAAUCCCGGCUAAUAUUUUGAACCGCAGGGUUCGAAAGUGCAAGACGGUCUUGCUGUCACUUAUCGAUGGGUCAGAGCGUCAUUAGCUAGUUGGUAAGGUAACGGCUGACCAAGGCAACGAUGCAUAGCCGACCUGAGAGGGUGAUCGGCCACACGGGAACUGAGACACGGUCCAGACUCCUCCGGCAGGCAGCAGUAGGGAAUCUGCCGCAAUGGGCGAAAGCCGGACGGAGCAACGCCGCGUGAGUGAUGAAGGUCUUCGGAUCGUAAAACUCUGUUAUUAGGGAAGAACAUAUGUGUAAGGAACUGUGCACAUCUUGACGGUACCUAAUCAGAAAGCCACGGCUAACUACGUG